rnacentral:lncRNA from 1 species
GGGAGUGCUAGCUCAUGCGAAGACCUUCUUUUUGACUGAUCUGGAUCCUUUUUUCAAAUAUCUAAAACCUUUACAGAGGUUGAAGAUGAACUUUUGAAAGAGAUAAAAAGGAAGAAGAAAGAUGAAAAAGAAAAUAAUUUUUUUCUAAUUUAUUCUCUAUUCUUAAAUCCUUAGAAUCAAAAAUCUGAAAUUCAAGUUUUUGCACACACCCCA